rnacentral:rRNA from 1 species
GGAGGGAGCGAGCGUUGUUCGGAAUCACUGGGCGUAAAGGGCGCGUAGGCGGCCGAGUAAGUCGUGUGUGAAAGACCGGGGCUCAACUCCGUGUACUGCAUGCGAUACUGCCCGGCUAGAGAAAGGUAGAGGCGAGUGGAAUUCCCGGUGUAGCGGUGGAAUGCGUAGAUGUCGGGAAGAACACCUGUGGCGAAGGCGGCUCGCUGGGCCUUUUCUGACGCUGAAGUGCGAAAGCGUGGGGAGCAAACAGGAUUAGAUACCCUGGUAGUCCACGCCGUAAACGAUGGGCACUAGGCGUUGGGAGGAUUGACCCUCUCAGUGCCGUUGCUAACGCGUUAAGUGCCCCCGCCUGGGGAUACGGCCGCAAGGCUG